GAUGAACGCUGGCUACAGGCUUAACACAUGCAAGUCGUGGGGAAACGGCAUUAUGUGCUUGCACAUUCUGGACGUCGACCGGCGCACGGGUGAGUAUCGCGUAUCCAACCUGCCCCUUACUUGGGGAUACCCCGUUGAAAGACGGCCUAAUACCCGAUGUGUUUCAUUGACGGCAUCCGAUAUGAAACAAAGGUUUUUUCCGGUAAGGGAUGGGGAUGCGUCUGAUUAGCUUGUUGGCGGGGCAACGGCCCACCAAGGCGACGAUCAGUAGGGGUUCUGAGAGGAAGGUCCCCCACAUUGGAACUGAGACACGGUCCAAACUCCUACGGGAGGCAGCAGUGAGGAAUAUUGGUCAAUGGACGCAAGUCUGAACCAGCCAAGUAGCGUGCAGGAUGACGGCCCUAUGGGUUGUAAACUGCUUUUAUGUGGGAAUAAAGUGGCGCACGUGUGCGCCAUUGCAUGUACCUCAUGAAUAAGGACCGGCUAAUUCCGUGCCAGCAGCCGCGGUAAUACGGAAGGUCCGGGCGUUAUCCGGAUUUAUUGGGUUUAAAGGGAGUGUAGGCGGUCUGUUAAGCGUGUUGUGAAAUUUAGGUGCUCAACAUUUAACUUGCAGCGCGAACUGUCAGACUUGAGUACACGCAGCGCAGGCGGAAUUCAUGGUGUAGCGGUGAAAUGCUUAGAUAUCAUGAGGAACUCCGAUCGCGAAGGCAGCCUGCGGGAGUGUUACUGACGCUUAAGCUCGAAGGUGCGGGUAUCGAACAGGAUUAGAUACCCUGGUAGUCCGCACAGUGAACGAUGGAUGCCCGCCGUUGGCGCCCUGCGCCUGCGGCCAAGCGAAAGCAUUAAGCAUCCCACCUGGGGAGUACGCCGGCAACGGUGAAACUCAAAGGAAUGACGGGGGCCCGCACAAGCGGAGGAACAUGUGGUUUAAUUCGAUGAUACGCGAGGAACCUUACCCGGGCUUGAAUCGCAGUCGCUGCCCACAGAGACGUGGGCUCCCCUUCG
rnacentral:rRNA from 1 species